CUCCUUUAGCUCAGUUGGUUAGAGCGUCGUGCUAAUAGAAACGCGAAGGUCACAAGUUCGACCCUUGUAAGGAGCA
rnacentral:tRNA from 1 species